UAUGUUUUGUUUACGGUUAGUAAAAAAAAUGUCUGACAGAAAGUGCCGGAAGCUCCGGAAGUAUCCUUUUCGUUGCGGUUGGAUGCAGAUAAACGGUAGAUUAUUGGCCGCUGUGUUAUGUAAGGAUGUCAAUAUGGAUCACGGAAGAUCCUAGCAACUUAUCGCGUCUGGCCAAACUACUGCGAUUCCAUUCCAACGUGCUGAUACCACAUUAACACCAGUCGUCCAACAGCAAGAGCUAAAAUCAGGAAUGCCCUGUUCGCCUUCGUCUUUGAACCUUGCAGUGCGCUACCGUUUCCAAUGCUUCGCUGGACCAACCAAAGGAACGCCUUAGCUUUGCUAACGCCCAUUAGAAGAUCCACGCCUCUAUAGAAAAUGUAUACCAAUUAUCAACAACCAGAAACCAACAUGGCUUGAGCAGGAACUAAUAACUAAUAAUUAUUAGUUCCUGGCUCGAGUAUGUUUGAAAUCGACUGCUCCACGACCACGAACAUAACAACAACGCCUCCUGUCCUACAGGCAAAUAUAUCUCAGAUUAAAAAAAUCGACCAGGUACACAAGCAGAAAGAAAGUCUUUUAAAUAACGAUUGCUAAGACAAAAUAAUUUUAUCAACAGGAAAAAUCCACAUUUCUUGUGAGAUGCAAAAAAAUUAUGUACAUCAUUACAAAAUAUCAUUACACUAUGUAAUGUCAAUUCAAUAUAUCAAAGUGUAAUAAUGUUUUGUGGAGAUGUGAAUAAUUCAUUUUUGCAUCUCACAAGAAAUGUGAAUCUGUUAAUACAAUAAAUUGUGAAACAUUAAAUCGUAUUGUAUUUCUAUUGUAAUACUGCAGUGAAAUUUAUAUAUAAUUCCUAUUGUACUACUAUGGUAAAACAAUAAAAAAAAUCAGGAAAAACAUUUAAAACACA